rnacentral:rRNA from 1 species
AGUGAACGCUGGCGGUAGGCCUAACACAUGCAAGUCGAACGGCAGCACAGUAAGAGCUUGCUCUUACGGGUGGCGAGUGGCGGACGGGUGAGGAAUACAUCGGAAUCUACUUUUUCGUGGGGGAUAACGUAGGGAAACUUACGCUAAUACCGCAUACGACCUACGGGUGAAAGCAGGGGAUCUUCGGACCUUGCGCGAUUGAAUGAGCCGAUGCCGGAUUAGCUAGUUGGCGGGGUAAAGGCCCACCAAGGCGACGAUCCGUAGCUGGUCUGAGAGGAUGAUCGGCCACACUGGAACUGAGACACGGUCCAGACUCCUACGGGAGGCAGCAGUGGGGAAUAUUGGACAAUGGGCGCAAGCCUGAUCCAGCCAUACCGCGUGGGUGAAGAAGGCCUUCGGGUUGUAAAGCCCUUUUGUUGGGAAAGAAAAGCAGCAGGUUAAUCCCCCGCUGUUCUGACGGUACCCAAAGAAUAAGCACCGGCUAACUUCGUG